CGAAUGCUGACAUAAGUAACGAUAAAGCGGGUGAAAAGCCCGCUCGCCGGAAGACCAAGGGUUCCUGUCCAACGUUAAUCGGGGCAGGGUGAGUCGACCCCUAAGGCGAGGCCGAAAGGCGUAGUCGAUGGGAAACAGGUUAAUAUUCCUGUACUUGGUGUUACUGCGAAGGGGGGACGGAGAAGGCUAUGUUGGCCGGGCGACGGUUGUCCCGGUUUAAGCGUGUAGGCUGGUUUUCCAGGCAAAUCCGGAAAAUCAAGGCUGAGGCGUGAUGACGAGGCACUACGGUGCUGAAGCAACAAAUGCCCUGCUUCCAGGAAAAGCCUCUAAGCAUCAGGUAACAUCAAAUCGUACCCCAAACCGACACAGGUGGUCAGGUAGAGAAUACCAAGGCGCUUGAGAGAACUCGGGUGAAGGAACUAGGCAAAAUGGUGCCGUAACUUCGGGAGAAGGCACGCUGAUAUGUAGGUGAAGUCCCUCGCGGAUGGAGCUGAAAUCAGUCGAAGAUACCAGCUGGCUGCAACUGUUUAUUAAAAACACAGCACUGUGCAAACACGAAAGUGGACGUAUACGGUGUGACGCCUGCCCGGUGCCGGAAGGUUAAUUGAUGGGGUCAGCGCAAGCGAAGCUCUUGAUCGAAGCCCCGGUAAACGGCGGCCGUAACUAUAACGGUCCUAAGGUAGCGAAAUUCCUUGUCGGGUAAGUUCCGACCUGCACGAAUGGCGUAAUGAUGGCCAGGCUGUCUCCACCCGAGACUCAGUGAAAUUGAACUCGCUGUGAAGAUGCAGUGUACCCGCGGCAAGACGGAAAGACCCCGUGAACCUUUACUAUAGCUUGACACUGAACAUUGAGCCUUGAUGUGUAGGAUAGGUGGGAGGCUUAGAAGUGUGGACGCCAGUCUGCAUGGAGCCGACCUUGAAAUACCACCCUUUAAUGUUUGAUGUUCUAACGUUGACCCGUGAUCCGGGUUGCGGACAGUGUCUGGUGGGUAGUUUGACUGGGGCGGUCUCCUCCUAAAGAGUAACGGAGGAGCACGAAGGUUGGCUAAUCCUGGUCGGACAUCAGGAGGUUAGUGCAAUGGCAUAAGCCAGCUUGACUGCGAGCGUGACGGCGCGAGCAGGUGCGAAAGCAGGUCAUAGUGAUCCGGUGGUUCUGAAUGGAAGGGCCAUCGCUCAACGGAUAAAAGGUACUCCGGGGAUAACAGGCUGAUACCGCCCAAGAGUUCAUAUCGACGGCGGUGUUUGGCACCUCGAUGUCGGCUCAUCACAUCCUGGGGCUGAAGUAGGUCCCAAGGGUAUGGCUGUUCGCCAUUUAAAGUGGUACGCGAGCUGGGUUUAGAACGUCGUGAGACAGUUCGGUCCCUAUCUGCCGUGGGCGCUGGAGAACUGAGGGGGGCUGCUCCUAGUACGAGAGGACCGGAGUGGACGCAUCACUGGUGUUCGGGUUGUCAUGCCAAUGGCACUGCCCGGUAGCUAAAUGCGGAAGAGAUAAGUGCUGAAAGCAUCUAAGCACGAAACUUGCCCCGAGAUGAGUUCUCCCUGACCCUUUAAGGGUCCUGAAGGAACGUUGAAGACGACGACGUUGAUAGGCCGGGUGUGUAAGCGCAGCGAUGCGUUGAGCUAACCGGUACUAAUGAACCGUGAGG
rnacentral:rRNA from 1 species